CAGAUUAUAAUUUAAACAAAAUACUAGCUUUGGGAGCUAGAAAUCGGCCUACCCCGUAAUCUGA
rnacentral:tRNA from 1 species